CGCGGCCUAUCAGCUUGUUGGCGGGGUAACGGCCCACCAAGGCGUCGACGGGUAGCCGGCCUGAGAGGGCGACCGGCCACACUGGGACUGAGACACGGCCCAGACUCCUACGGGAGGCAGCAGUGGGGAAUAUUGCACAAUGGGCGAAAGCCUGAUGCAGCGACGCCGCGUGAGGGAUGAAGGCCUUCGGGUUGUAAACCUCUUUCAGUAGGGAAGAAGCGAAAGUGACGGUACCUGCAGAAGAAGCGCCGGCUAACUACGUGCCAGCAGCCGCGGUAAUACGUAGGGCGCAAGCGUUGUCCGGAAUUAUUGGGCGUAAAGGGCUCGUAGGCGGUUUGUCGCGUCUGGUGUGAAAACUCAAGGCUCAACCUUGAGCUUGCAUCGGGUACGGGCAGACUAGAGUGCGGUAGGGGUGACUGGAAUUCCUGGUGUAGCGGUGGAAUGCGCAGAUAUCAGGAGGAACACCGAUGGCGAAGGCAGGUCACUGGGCCGCAACUGACGCUGAGGAGCGAAAGCAUGGGGAGCGAACAGGAUUAGAUACCCUGGUAGUCCAUGCCGUAAACGUUGGGCACUAGGUGUGGGGCUCAUUCCACGAGUUCCGUGCCGCAGCAAACGCAUUAAGUGCCCCGCCUGGGGA
rnacentral:rRNA from 1 species